GGUUGGGAAUCCACGGGGACGGCAGAUUCCCCGUGCUCAGUGGGAUCCUGCCUUUGUCCCACUGCUGUUCUGCUCCCACCCGGGCUGGAUGUGGGGAUGGGCUCCCAGCUGGGCUCCCUCGUGUAACAGAGCCAUGAGCAGGGCCUGGAACCUCACUCAGGCUCCAGCUGCAGUCUCAGGUUUUGGUUGUUCAUUGCUGCCCCGAGAUGUGCAGGAUGUCUCUGCUCCUGAGGAACGAGUCUGGACUCUUCACUUUUCGGUCUUGAGGCUGAAUUCCACUUCUCUCUCAUGCUCUGAAAUCCAGCGGAGUCAGCAGAAAAGCCAUGGAAGUUUCCUGGGUAGGACUUUUAAGCCAAGGUCCUCUCCAUGGAGAGCUCCUCUGGGCUUUGUCCCACACAACCAGACCAGAACCAGCCCUUUGAGUGCAUUUUUCCCAUGCACAGAGUAUUUUUUCAAGUGAGCAGCGAGAGUUGCUGGGAAGGAGAUGGUUGGCUGCAGGCCGGGAAGAGGAAGAGGAGGGCUCAGCCUUCAGGACUCUGCUGAGGAUGGAAUAGCCCAGAAGUCACCUUUCCAAGGACACGGAGGGAUAGGAUAAGGAGGGAUAGCUUUAAAUUGAAGGAAUGUAGAUUUUUGUUAGAUUUUAGGAAGAAAUUCCUCCCUGUGGCUGCCCCUGGAUCCCUGGAAGUGCCCAAGGCCAGGCUGGACGGGGCUUGGAGCCACCUGGGCCAGUGGAAGGUGUCUCUGCCAUGGCAGGGGUGGAAUGAGAUGAGUUUUAACAUCCUUUCCAACCCAGAUCAGUCUGGGAUUCCAUGAAAUCAAUGUCAGGUCUGUGGGAGUCCUUACCUGAUCCAUAAUUUGCUGUUACUUUUGGCAGAGAAUUCAAAAUGCGUGCUUUGGAUCUUUGCUGAAAGCAAGGCUCUGCAUUUAGGAUUUGGGCUCUGUUGUCAAAUAAUGGCAAAAAUAAAUUAAUGGUUGUCAAUACACCCACAGGGGUG